rnacentral:lncRNA from 1 species
UAGAGUCCAUAAGGAAUGAAAGAGUUUUAUCUAAUAACCGAAAUAAUAAUAGUUACAAUUUUUCAAGAAUGAAAGAAACGUAUAAUUCUAUUACUACUAAUAAUAGCAAUAAUAAUAUUAAACCAGUAUACAUUUAUGAUAGUAAAAUAUCAAAUAACAAUGAUGAAAAAUAUGAUAAAUAUGAUAAAUACGAAAAAUAUGACAACUAUAAUGUUAGUCCUUAUUUAAAAAAUAAUUCGAAUAGUCCAUCUUCUAUAUUACCCAACCGCAAUAUGUUGAACAAAUUUAACAAUAGUAGUAGUAAUAAUAAUAAUGAUAGUAUUAAUAAUAAUAAUAAUAAUAAUAAUAAUAGUAGUUGUAUUAUUAAUAAUAAUAAAUAUAAUCAGAGUAUAGCUAAAAAUGUAAAAGAUAUAUAUAGUGAUAAUGUAACAGAUUCAUCUCGAUUUAGGAGUAUACCUUAUGAAAGUAUCUACGAUACUCAUAGUAAUAAAAAUAGUAACUACAACAAUAAUAAUGGAAAUAGUACUUGUAGAAGUAGCAGAGUAUCAAAUAUGUAUUUUAAUGAUAGUGCUAGACGAAGUAUCAGCGCUAUUCCUAAUAUAAACAAUCUUAGCAGACGUAAUUCGAAUAUGUAUAUAGGUGAAGACGAUACAUAUAAUAAUAAUAAUAAUAGUAAUAAUAAUAAUAAUAAUAAUAGUAAUUUAGAUGAAAAUAACAGUUAUAGAAUGCUUGAAAAGGAUAAAGAAUAUUUAAUAGAAAAAAGAAAACUAUUUUUGGAAAGGGAAAAAGACGCUUAUGAGCGAAUUAGGCAAAAUAAUAACUACGCUUACGUUAAUAUACCAAGAUACGAAAGAUGCGAAGAUAUGAAGAAUAUAAAUAAAUCAAAUAACUUAUCCUCUAACAGACGUAAUAGAAGUAUGGUUAAUUGUGUAAACGAACAAGAAAAAAGAAUGUCAACCUAUAAUAUAAAAAAAGCUUACGAAGAUGAAGAUGAUGAUAACUAUGCCAUGCAAAGUAGAAAUGUGUAUAAUGUGAAGAAUAUGGUACAUAAUAAUGAUUAUAGUGUAUAUGAUAGGAACACAUUUUCUUGUAGGUGAUAAAUAAAAUUAAUAGAGCGAAUAAUAAACA